rnacentral:rRNA from 1 species
GUGCCAGCCGCCGCGGUAAUACGUAGGUGGCAAGCGUUAUCCGGAAUUAUUGGGCGUAAAGCGCGCGUAGGCGGUUUUUUAAGUCUGAUGUGAAAGCCCACGGCUCAACCGUGGAGGGUCAUUGGAACUGGAAACUUGAGUGCAGAAGAGGAAAGUGGAAUUCCAUGUGUAGCGGUGAAAUGCGCAGAGAUAUGGAGGACACCAGUGGCGAAGGCGACUUUCUGGUCUGUAACUGACGCUGAUGUGCUAACGCCUGGGAUCAAACAGGAUUAGAUA